ACGGUGGGGACUUCUAACAUUGUGCACCAAAAUAAACAUUUUCUAUGGAUAAGUUACCCCAGAAAUUUGUUCCGGAGAUGGAAAGCCAACCACAGUGAUUCUUCCUGCUCUACCAACUUAUUCCAUGAGGUUCUCUGGUGAUCACAAAAUAUGUUUCUUAUUCUGGCCUCAGAUGAGAACAUGCCAUUUCAAGAAGUCAGCCCUGCACAAGCGUCACACUCCCACUCCGAGUUCACAGGACAGCACAAGCAGACGAGCACUCGAGAGCUGGCUUCGUUUCUCCACUUCUAGCUGCGACCCGGUGGUUGGUAGAGGCUUCCACACUUAGGAGGGGGAUGCGUACUUCCGGAGCCCACGCUGCCUUCAGAAAACCACCAGACGUGCUGAGAUCAAUACAGCAAAGGACUUCUCAACACGAGCAAGGACGUCGUCUAGCGUCGGGUCUCUCUCAGCCCGUGCCUUCUCCUGUGAGAACCCCAGGAUUUCUCCCCUGGAUGGGGCCCGAGAGUGACAGGCUGACUUUCCUAAGAAGUCGCCCGAGCCACCAUGAAGAGCGCCAGAGAAACGAGUCAGUGUUCGGAGCGGCGGCUGUUCCAUCCUCC
rnacentral:lncRNA from 1 species